AGUGUAGAGGUGAAAUUCGUAGAUAUUAGAAAGAAUACCAAUUGCGAAGGCAGCUUUCUGGAUCAUUACUGACACUGAGGAACGAAAGCAUGGGUAGCGAAGAGGAUUAGAUACCCUCGUAGUCCAUGCCGUAAACGAUGUGUGUUAGACGUUGGAAAUUUAUUUUCAGUGUCGCAGGGAAACCGAUAAACACACCGCCUGGGGAGUACGACCGCAAGGUUAAAACUCAAAUGAAUUGACGGGGACCCGCACAAGUAGUGGAGCAUGUGGUUUAAUUCGAAGAUACGCGCAGAACCUUACCAACACUUGACAUGUUCGUCGCGACUCUAAGAGAUUAGAGUUUUCGGUUCGGCCGGACGAAACACAGGUGCUGCAUGGCUGUCGUCAGCUCGUGUCGUGAGAUGUUGGGUUAAGUCCCGCAACGAGCGCAACCCUCACUUUUAGUUGCCAUCAUUAAGUUGGGCACUCUGAAAGAACUGCCAGUGAUAAGCUGGAGGAAGGUGGGGAUGACGUCAAGUCCUCAUGGCCCUUACGUGUUGGGCUACACACGUGCUACAAUGGCAUCUACAACAGGAAGCAAAACGGCAACGUUAAGCAAAUCCCGAAAAGAUGCCUCAGUUCGGAUUGCACUCUGCAACUCGAGUGCACGAAGCUGGAAUUACUAGUAAUCGUGGAUCAGCGUGCCACGGUGAAUGCGUUCCCGGGUCUUGUACACACCGCCCGUCACACCAUGGGAGUUGGUUCUACCUUAAGGCAAGGUUUCAAACCCUUGACCACGGUAUAGUCAGCGACUGGGGUGAAGUCGUAACAAGGUAACCGUA
rnacentral:rRNA from 1 species